GAUGAACGCUGGCGGCGUGCCUAAUACAUGCAAGUCGAGCGAACGGACGAGAAGCUUGCUUCUCUGAUGUUAGCGGCGGACGGGUGAGUAACACGUGUAUAACCUACCUAUAAGACUGGGAUAACUUCGGGAAACCGGAGCUAAUACCGGAUAAUAUUUUGAACCGCAUUGUUCAAAAGUGAAAGACGGUCUUGCUGUCACUUAUAGAUGGAUCCGCGCUGCAUUAGCUAGUUGGUAAGGUAACGGCUUACCAAGGCAACGAUGCAUAGCCGACCUGAGAGGGUGAUCGGCCACACUGGAACUGAGACACGGUCCAGACUCCUACGGGAGGCAGCAGUAGGGAAUCUUCCGCAAUGGGCGAAAGCCUGACGGAGCAACGCCGCGUGAGUGAUGAAGGUCUUCGGAUCGUAAAACUCUGUUAUUAGGGAAGAACAUAUGUGUAAGUAACUGUGCACAUCUUGACGGUACCUAAUCAGAAAGCCACGGCUAACUACGUG
rnacentral:rRNA from 1 species